rnacentral:rRNA from 1 species
CAGCAGCCGCGGGAAUACGUAGGCGGCAAGCGUUGUCCGGAAUUAUUGGGCGUAAAGGGCUCGCAGGCGGUUUCUUAAGUCUGAUGUGAAAGCCCCCGGCUCAACCGGGGAGGGUCAUUGGAAACUGGGAAACUUGAGUGCAGAAGAGGAGAGUGGAAUUCCACGUGUAGCGGUGAAAUGCGUAGAGAUGUGGAGGAACACCAGUGGCGAAGGCGACUCUCUGGUCUGUAACUGACGCUGAGGAGCGAAAGCGUGGGGAGCGAACAGGAUUAGAGACCCCCGUAGUCCCUGUCUCUUAUAA